UACGAAGGGGGCUAGCGUUGCUCGGAAUCACUGGGCGUAAAGCGCACGUAGGCGGAUCUUUAAGUCAGGGGUGAAAUCCCGGAGCUCAACUCCGGAACUGCCUUUGAUACUGCAGGACUUGAGUGAAGUCGAGGUAGGCGGAAUUGACGGUGUAGCGGUGAAAUGCUUAGAUAUCGUCAAGAACACCGAUAGUGAAGACAGCUUACUAGACUUCAACUGACGCUGAGGCACGAAAGUGUGGGGAUCAAACAGG
rnacentral:rRNA from 1 species